UACGGAGGGUGCAAGCGUUAUCCGGAUUCACUGGGUUUAAAGGGAGCGUAGGAGGGCAGGUAAGUCAGUGGUGAAAUCUUCGAGCUUAACUCGGAAACUGCCGUUGAUACUAUCUGUCUUGAAUGCCGUGGAGAUGAGCGGAAUAUGUCAUGUAGCGGUGAAAAUGCUUAGAUAUGACAUAGAAACACCAAAUUUGCGAAGGCAGCUCGUUACAACGAAACAUUUACUCUGAGGCUCGAAAAGCG
rnacentral:rRNA from 1 species